GAUGAAGAACGUAGUGAAAUGCGAUAAGUAAUGUGAAUUGCAGAAUUCAGUGAAUCAUCGAAUCUUUGAACGCACAUUGCGCCGCCUGGUAUUCCGGGGGGCAUGCCUGUCCGAGCGUCAUUACAACCCUCAAGCUCAGCUUGGUGUUGGGCCCCGCCGCCCCGGCGGGCCCUAAAGUCAGUGGCGGUGCCGUCCGGCUCCGAGCGUAGUAAUUCUUCUCGCUCUGGAGGUCCGGUCGUGUGCUCGCCAGCAACCCCCAAUUUUUUUCAGGUUGACCUCGGAUCAGGUAGGGAUACCCGCUGAACUUAAGCAUAUCAAUAAGCGGAGGA
rnacentral:misc_RNA from 1 species